CCUACGGGAGGCAGCAGUGAGGAAUAUUGGUCAAUGGACGAGAGUCUGAACCAGCCAAGUAGCGUGAAGGAUGACUGCCCUAUGGGUUGUAAACUUCUUUUAUAUGGGAAUAAAACGUUCCACGUGUGGGAUUUUGUAUGUACCAUAUGAAUAAGGAUCGGCUAACUCCGUGCCAGCAGCCGCGGUAAUACGGAGGAUCCGAGCGUUAUCCGGAUUUAUUGGGUUUAAAGGGAGCGUCGGUGGAUUGUUAAGUCAGUUGUGAAAGUUUGCGGCUCAACCGUAAAAUUGCAGUUGAAACUGGCAGUCUUGAGUACAGUAGAGGUGUGCGGAAUUAGUGGUGUAGCGGUGAAAUGCUUAGAUAUCACGAAGAACUCCGAUUGCGAAGGCAGUUCACUGGACUGCAACUGACACUGAGGCUCGAAAGUGUGGGUAUCAAACAGGAUUAGAUACCCCAGUAGUC
rnacentral:rRNA from 1 species